UACAGAGGUCUCAAGCGUUGUUUCGGAUUCAGUUGGGCGUAAAGGGUGCGUAGGCGGCGCGGUAAGUCGGGUGUGAAAUCUCGGAGCUUAACUCCGAAACUGCAUUCGAUACUGCCGUGCUUGAGGAUGGAGAGGAGACUGGAAUUUACGUGAGCGGUGAAAUGCGUAGAUAUCGUAAGGAGACCAGUGGCGGAAGGCGGCUCUCUGGGAACGGUACUGGACGCUGAGGAGCGAAAGCC
rnacentral:rRNA from 1 species